rnacentral:lncRNA from 1 species
GGGCUCGAAUUCUUCACAGCAAAUACCUAGGUAGAUGUUCUCCCAUUUCCCGAAUCUGGAAGGCUCUCACUCUGGGCUGAGCUCAAUGUCAAAUCGGACUCCAAUGGCAGACUGGGAAUGAAGAGCAUAUUAAUUUCUUCACGAGUGCUUGGAUAGCGCCAAAUAUGCCGCUCUGAAAUCUGAUUCAUGGCCCACUUCCUGAGCAUGAAAUCACAUCUAAAGUGUCUCAACAUAGAGUAGUAAAUAGUUGGUCCUUAUUGCGGCUCUCUUUUGAUCUCCUUGUUUAUAUUAUUUCUCUCAUAAACUCUAUUCACUUACCUCGCUACAAUAUUUCUAGAUCUGACAAAAUCAAACGGGGCCUGUGUUAGAGUAUGAGCCCUACUAAUUGCCUAUCUGUGGAACAAGUAAUUCGAAUGGUGAAUGGUUACUAGGUUUUACUAGUAAGGUCUUUACCCCGAACCCUCUAGAAGCUGAACUUCACGCUUUACUUUUGGGUUUGAAUGUUGCAAUUCAAUACUACUUUACAAACUGUAAAUCAAUGUGGAC